CUACGGGACGCAGCAGUGAGGAAUAUUGCACAAUGGGGGGAACCCUGAUGCAGCAACGCCGCGUGGAGGAUGACGCAUUUCGGUGUGUAAGCUCCUUUUAUAUGUCAAGAAAAUGACGGUAGCAUAUGAAUAAGCACCGGCUAACUCCGUGCCAGCAGCCGCGGUAAUACGGAGGGUGCAAGCGUUACUCGGAAUCACUGGGCGUAAAGGACGCGUAGGCGGGUUGGAAAGUCAGGUGUGAAAUCCUACAGCUUAACGGUAGAACUGCACUUGAAACUUCUAAUCUAGAGUAUGGGAGGGGGAGAUGGAAUUAGUGGUGUAGGGGUAAAAUCCGUAGAUAUCACUAGGAAUACCUAAAGCGAAGGCGAUCUCCUGGAACAUUACUGACGCUAAGGCGUGAAAGCGUGGGGAGCAAACAGGAUUAGAUACCCCAGUAGUC
rnacentral:rRNA from 1 species